rnacentral:RNase_P_RNA from 1 species
CUGCCGCUGGGCCUGGCCCAGAGGAAAGUCCGGGCUCCGCCGGAAAUGAUGCCGGUUAACAACCGGGCAGUAUUUAAUACUGACAGACAGUGCAACAGAAAAUAUACCGCCCUCCGGGGUAAGGGUGAAAAGGCGGGGUAAGAGCCCACCGGAUAACCGGUAACGGUUAUUGCGUUGUAAACCUCAUCAGGAGCAAAGUCAGACAGUAAAGGAACUCCGGUUCUGCGAAAGCACCUUUACGGGUAGACUGCUGGAAAAAUCCGGUAACGGGUUUUACAGAUAGAUGGCAGCUGUCAAUUUUUAUUGAUACAGAACCCGGCUUACAAGUUCCCUUU